rnacentral:lncRNA from 1 species
UUCAUCUUCAGUUUAGCUACUAGAAGGGACUAAAACACAUAAGUCCAGUAAAAUCCUAGUCUAGAAAGAAACUUCUAAGAGUUUUGGUAUCAUCAAAACAAGGAAAGUUUAUAUCUUUUAUUUCCCAACACUCUGGCUGUUGUUUCUACGGCAAGAAGCUUCAAUCUUAGGAUCAAAAUCUGCUAAAGGUAAACUAUGAGAUCGUGUGUUCAUGCACUACCUGGAAAAACUCUAGACCCAAAUCAGAACUAUAAGAAAAAUAAAGAAACAAAAUAAAAUAACAAAAAUAAAAAUCCAGAUUAGUAGCUAACAAUUCAUAGAUAGUAUAAAAAAUAAACAAUCCGCGGAAACGAUGCCAAAAACUUGUUCGCUAAUUUCUUAACACACCGCAUGUGCACUGGUGCAAUUGUGUAUAGUUAUAACAGCCAACUCCAGACUUGACGGUUGUCCCCAAAGACCAAC